rnacentral:rRNA from 1 species
GACGAACGCUGGCGGCGUGCUUAACACAUGCAAGUCGAACGGAAAGGCCCCUUUGGGGGUACUCGAACGGUGAACGCGUGCGUAACACGUACGUAACCUUCCCCUGACUUUGGGACUACUUCAAGAAACUGGGGCCAAUACUGAUACGGAAUCAUUUCUGCAAGGUGGGGGUUGGAAAGCUUCGGCGGGUUUGGAUGGACUUGCGACGUAUCAGCUUGUUGCUGUGGCAGUGGCUUACCAAGGCGUUGAAGGGUAGCCGGACUGAGUGGGCGACCUGCCACACUGGGACCGAGAGGAGGCCCCGACUCCUACGGGAGGCAGAAGUGGGGAAUAUUGAACAAGGGGCGGAAGCCUGAUGCAGAAGGGCCGCGGGCGGGAUGACGGCCUUAGUGUUGUAAAACGAAUUCAGCAGGGGCGAAGCUUGUGGUGACGGUACCUGCAGAAGAAGCACCGGCUAACUACGUG